rnacentral:rRNA from 1 species
UACGUAGGGUGCGAGCGUUGUCCGGAAUUAUUGGGCGUAAAGAGCUUGUAGGCGGUCUGUCGCGUCUGCUGUGAAAAUCCGGGGCUCAACCCCGGACUUGCAGUGGGUACGGGCAGACUAGAGUGUGGUAGGGGAGACUGGAAUUCCUGGUGUAGCGGUGAAAUGCGCAGAUAUCAGGAGGAACACCGGUGGCGAAGGCGGGUCUCUGGGCCGAUACUGACACUGAGAAGCGAAAGCGUGGGGAGCGAACAGG